UACGGAGGGGACUAGCGUUGUUCGGAAUUACUGGGCGUAAAGCGCGCGUAGGCGGAUUUGCAAGUCGGGGGUGAAAUCCCGAGGCUCAACCUCGGAACUGCCUUUAAAACUGCAUCGCUUGAAUCCAGGAGAGGUGAGUGGAAUUCCGAGUGUAGAGGUGAAAUUCGUAGAUAUUCGGAAGAACACCAGUGGCGAAGGCGGCUCACUGGACUGGUAUUGACGCUGAGGUGCGAAAGCGUGGGGAGCAAACAGG
rnacentral:rRNA from 1 species